rnacentral:rRNA from 1 species
UGGGGAAUAUUGCACAAUGGAGGGAACUCUGAUGCAGCGACGCCGCGUGAGUGAUGAAGGAAUUCGUUUCGUAAAACUCUGUUCUAUGGGAAGAAAAGGACUGUACCAUAGGAGAAAGCUCCGGCUAAAUACGUGCCAGCAGCCGCGGUAAUACGUAUGGAGCGAGCGUUGUCCGGAAUUAUUGGGCGUAAAGGGUGCGCAGGCGGCUUUACAAGUUGGAUGUGAAAUAUUGUGGCUCAACCACAAACGUGCAUCCAAAACUGCAAAGCUUGAGUUAAGGAGAGGUAAGUGGAAUUCCUGGUGUAGCGGUGGAAUGCGUAGAUAUCAGGAGGAAUACCGGUGGCGAAGGCGACUUACUGGACUUAAACUGACGCCCAGGCACGAAAGCGUGGGGAGCAAACAGG